rnacentral:rRNA from 1 species
UACAGAGACUGCGAGCGUUAUUCGGAUUCACUGGGCGUAAAGGGCGCGUAGGCGGCUCAUGAAGGCUGUGGUGAAAGUCCGGGGCUCAACCUCGGAUCGGCCGUGGCGACUCGUGGGCUGGAGCACUGUAGAGGCGGGUGGAAUUCCGGGUGUAGCGGUGGAAUGCGUAGAGAUCCGGAAGAACACCAGUGGCGAAGGCGGCCCGCUGGGCAGUGGCUGACGCUGAGGCGCGACAGCGUGGGGAGCAAACAGG